rnacentral:rRNA from 1 species
UACAGAGACUGCAAGCGUUGUUCGGAUUCACUGGGCGUAAAGGGUGCGCAGGCGGCCGUGUGUGUGAGGCGUGAAAGCCCGGGGCUUAACCCCGGAAUUGCACCUCAAACUACAUGGCUAGAGCAUUGGAGAGGGUAGCAGAAUUCAUGGUGUAGCAGUGAAAUGCGUAGAUAUCAUGAGGAAUACCAGAGGCGAAGGCGGCUACCUGGACAAUUGCUGACGCUCAGGCACGAAAGCGUGGGGAGCAAAAGGG